AUUGAACGCUGGCGGCAGGCCUAACACAUGCAAGUCGAGCGAGCGGCGGACGGGUGAGUAAUUUAUAGGGACUGCCCGAUAGAGGGGGCUAACUACUGGAAACGGUAGCUAAUACCGCAUACUAUCGGAUAACCCAUAUGGGAUUAGCUAGUAGGUGAGGUAAUGGCUCACCUAGGCGACGAUCCCUAGCUGGUCUGGGAGGAUGAUCAGCCACACUGGGACUGAGACACGGCCCAGACCCCUACGGAGGCAGCAGUGGGGAAUAUUGCACAAUGGGCGCAAGCCUGAUGCAGCCAUGCCGCGUGUAUGAAGAAGGCCUUAGGGUUGUAAAGUACUUUUAGUCGGGAGGAGUUACCGACAGAAGAAGCACCGGCUAACUCCGUGCCAGCAGCCGCGGUAAUUC
rnacentral:rRNA from 1 species